UUUUCAAUGUUCCUUAGGUCAAUACUAUUCUCCCCACUUCAAAGAUAAGGAAAUAUCUAUUAUUUCAAUUAAUCUUCCUGACAAUCUCCACAAAUGGUAAGACCCACAAGGAUGGGGCUAUGCCCGUGCACACAGGAUGCAGAGUAGCGGAGCAGGAUCAAAAGGCAGGUGUGUCUGACUCCCAAGUAUGUAC